rnacentral:rRNA from 1 species
UGCAGUCGAACGGAUCCUUCGGGAUUAGUGGCAGACGGGUGAGUAACGCGUGGGAAGCUACCUUGUGGUAGGGAACAACAGUUGGAAACGACUGCUAAUACCCUAUGAGCCCUAUGGGGGAAAGAUUUAUCGCCAUGAGAUGUGCCCGCGUUAGAUUAGCUAGUUGGUAAGGUAAUGGCUUACCAAGGCGACGAUCUAUAGCUGGUCUGAGAGGAUGAUCAGCCACACUGGGACUGAGACACGGCCCAGACUCCUACGGGAGGCAGCAGUGGGGAAUAUUGGACAAUGGGGGCAACCCUGAUCCAGCCAUGCCGCGUGAGUGAUGACGGCCUUAGGGUUGUAAAGCUCUUUCAGCAGUGAAGAUAAUGACAUUAACUGCAGAAGAAGCCCCGGCUAACUUCGUGCCAGCAGCCGCGGUAAUACGAAGGGGGCUAGCGUUGUUCGGAAUCACUGGGCGUAAAGCGUACGUAGGCGGACUGAUCAGUCAGGGGUGAAAUCCCGGGGCUCAACCCCGGAACUGCCUUUGAUACUGUCAGUCUUGAGAUCGAGAGAGGUGAGUGGAACUCCGAGUGUAGAGGUGAAAUUCGUAGAUAUUCGGAAGAACACCAGUGGCGAAGGCGGCUCACUGGCUCGAUACUGACGCUGAGGUACGAAAGCGUG